CCGCCUUCGCCCGCGAUUGGCUGCACUGUGCAGACCCCGCCUUCCAGGUCCGCCUCCGGCUCUGUCGACCGCGCCUCGCGAUUGGCUUUUCCCCAGCCGUCUUCUGCGAUUGGCCCCAGGGCGCUGCCGUUCAUAAUCACUGACGCCCCGGCCGGAAGCAACCGCCACGCGCGGAGCCACUUCCUGUUUACUCGACGGGAAAGGUGCAGGUAGAUGGGGAGGUUCCUGGCUGAGGAUGGAGGAAAGGGAAGCCACUGAGUCGCACGAAAGGCGGGGCUCGCGCGAGGGGCGUCGCUCCUACAAUGUGUCCGCGCAUUGGCUCUAUGCCUUUCACCUUCUCCAAGGUUACGUUACGCUUCGAAGUGUGGCGCUCUGCAGAGGUGUACGGCGCGCUGAGGAGGUAUUUCUGCCUUGAGUUCCUACCCCGACCUUCUUCAGUGAUGGAGUGUGACCUGAGAGUUUUCUCAGUGAUGCGGAGACAGACCGAGUCCACAGCUCAUGGAGCCAGGCUGCUUCAUCAACUGUGUUCUGACUGUCACUCCAGCCCAUCAUUUGAAACAAUUAUGUCCUACAAGCUGUCACUUCAUGAAAAAGCAACAAGGUAGCUAAUUUUUGGAGAAUAUUUGUUAUGUUUAAUUUAGUAGCUGUAAAAAGAAUUUGUUUGUUGUGAGUUAUAAAAGUGUAUGAAACAUGUGCCAUCUGAUUUCUAGUUUUGUGGGGUUUUUGAUGGUUUUUUGUUUGUUUGUUUGUUUUGAGAUAAGGUCACAUGUUGCCCAGGAUGGCAUCAAACUUGCUACGUAGCUAAGGAUGACCUUGAACUUCUGCUCUCCCCGCCUCUACCU